AACGCAGAUUGCGCCCUUUGGUAUUCCGAAGGGCAUGCCUGUUUGAGUGUCUUAUAAACCUCACCUCUAUAGUUUUCUAUAGUUGUGCUUUGGGUGUUGCCAGUACUGGCUCGCCUUAAAUGUCUAAGUGGAAUGCGUAAUAAGUUCUCGCAACCCUCCACUCUAAUUACAAUUUAUAUUCUGACCUCAAAUCAGGUAGGACUACCCGCUGAACUUAA
rnacentral:misc_RNA from 2 species